ensembl:snRNA U2 U2 spliceosomal RNA
CUCGCUUCUCGGCCUUUUGGCUAAGAGUAGUAUCUGUUCUUAUCAGUUUAAUAUCUGAUUCGUCCCCUACCCGGGGACCUUUUUUUUUAAUAUGGGCAGCAGUGGCUCAGUGGUGUAGCAUAGUUGUUCAAUAACCGGAAGGUUGGUGGUUCAAUCCCAACUUCUCCCUAGUCACU